ensembl:misc_RNA 7SK 7SK RNA
GGAUGUGGGGGUGAUCUGGCUGUGACAUCUGUCACCCCAUUGAUUGCCAGUGUUGAUUUGGCUGAUCUGGCUGGCUAGGCGGGUGUCCCCUUUCUCCCUCACCACUCCAUGUGCAUCACUCCUGAAGCUGUGUGCUCGGUUGAAGAGGAUGACCUUCCCCGAUAGAGGAGGACCGUUCUUUGGUCAUGGGUAUACAAGUAGCUGUGCUCCCCUGCUAGAACCUCCAAACAAGCUCUCAAGGUCCAUGAACCGUAAGAAUAAUGACCUGAGUGGAAAUCCAGAGUUGGAUGCUUAACCAGAUGAGCCACCCAGGAGCCCCUUGU